rnacentral:sRNA from 1 species
AGCAUCAUGGUAGCUUCCAAGCAUUUGCGGCCCACUGGCCAGUGCAUCCAAAACACAUUCAGGAAACCCGAGAGUUGUAAGUUGCACAUGUGUGGCCUACAGUGACUUCCAUGUAGUAACAGGGCUGAGCAAGGCAGGCUCUCCACCAGACUUAAAGCAUUCAACCACUCUGCCCCCAGGCCGACACUGACAUGUGUUCACUGUCGCUGCCACAGCUGGCCACCUGUGUUCAGUCUCCACGAAGGAUUCACCUUCUGCUCUCACUGACAUUUCCUUGGCUACACAAAUGUGCAGGUGUCUCUUGUCAAAGCUAAUUUUUCUUUUCUAAAUAAACAUCCUUUAAUACACUCCUCCCCUUCCUCACACUUAUUUUUAUCCUUGUUCGUAAUAUCCUACUUGGCUUCCCAUUUUUUAUAGCAGUAAUAUCUAAUUGAUUGCUAAAGACUGCAGUACACAAAGGCAUAAAGCAAAGCACAAGUGCUCUCCGUGGGGAGAACCCGGCCGGCAGCUGGGGAUGCGUCCCAGGGCUCCUCAGCGUGCACACACAGUCACGUGAUUCUGACGGCCUCAUCCUGCACCACGCCUCUUGUAUCCGCCAUUUUCUUUCUUGCUCAACUGUACAGACUGGGCAUUCACUUAAUGCUUUUCUUCUUUUUUUAAGAGAGUCUCACUCUGUUGCCCAGGCACCCCCAGCUUAGGGUGUGCGUAUCACCCAGCCCUGUGCUGGCGGCACGUUACCAACCAGCCUGCGUGAAGACCUGUCAACUGUCGUG